rnacentral:rRNA from 1 species
UUUGAUCCUGGCUCAGGACGAACGCUGGCGGCGCGCCUAACACAUGCAAGUCGAACGAGUGAGAGAGAGCUUGCUUUCUCGAGCGAGUGGCGAACGGGUGAGUAACGCGUGAGGAACCUGCCUCAAAGAGGGGGACAACAGUUGGAAACGACUGCUAAUACCGCAUAAGCCCACGACCCGGCAUCGGGAAGAGGGAAAAGGAGCAAUCCGCUUUGAGAUGGCCUCGCGUCCGAUUAGCUAGUUGGUGAGGUAACGGCCCACCAAGGCAACGAUCGGUAGCCGGACUGAGAGGUUGAACGGCCACAUUGGGACUGAGACACGGCCCAGACUCCUACGGGAGGCAGCAGUGGGGAAUAUUGCACAAUGGGGGAAACCCUGAUGCAGCGACGCCGCGUGGAGGAAGAAGGUCUUCGGAUUGUAAACUCCUGUUGUUGAGGAAGAUAAUGACGGUACUCAACAAGGAAGUGACGGCUAACUACGUGCCAGCAGCCGCGGUAAAACGUAGGUCACAAGCGUUGUCCGGAAUUACUGGGUGUAAAGGGAGCGCAGGCGGGAAGACAAGUUGGAAGUGAAAUCCAUGGGCUCAACCCAUGAACUGCUUUCAAACUGUUUUUCUUGAGUAGUGCAGAGGUAGGCGGAAUUCCCGGUGUAGCGGUGGAAUGCGUAUAUAUCGGGAGGAACACCACUGGCGAAGGCGCCUACUGGGCACCACUGACCUGAGC